UAUUGCAAAAACGUGUAGUAAUACAACAUGAUCUAGUCGACGUUUCAGUCCACGAAGGACUCUUGAUAAAAGUCCUUCGUGGACUGAAACGUCGACUAGAUCAUGUUGUAUUACUACACGUUUUUGCAAU